ensembl:misc_RNA Metazoa_SRP Metazoan signal recognition particle RNA
AGGGCAGGCCGGUGAAUCCGUCAUCCCAGAUCCUGGGGUCUAAGACUGCCACUUCUCUUGAGCUCCGGAGCUCUGAGCUGCAUGGAGAUAGGCAAGAUGGGUGUCUGCAUUAAUUUUGGGAUUCAUAUGGUGACUGCCAAGAAGUGGGGUGCCCCCCGGUUACUAAAAGAAGGGAGAAAUGACUCAGGUCAGAAAUGGGGCAAGUUAAAGCUUCUGUGACAUCAGUGAUGGGAUUGGACCUGUGAGUCACUACUGUGCCAGCAGCCUGGGUGAGAUGGGGAGUCAGUCUCA